GCUCAGGAUGAACGCUAGCGGCAGGCUUAACACAUGCAAGUCGAGGGGUAGAGGCCUUCGGGCCUUGAGACCGGCGCACGGGUGCGUAACGCGUAUGCAAUCUGCCUUCCACAGAGGGAUAGCCCAGAGAAAUUUGGAUUAAUACCUCAUAGCAUCAUGCCCCGGCAUCGGGAUAUGAUUAAAGUCACAACGGUGGAAGAUGAGCAUGCGUCCCAUUAGCUAGUUGGUAAGGUAACGGCUUACCAAGGCUACGAUGGGUAGGGGUCCUGAGAGGGAGAUCCCCCACACUGGUACUGAGACACGGACCAGACUCCUACGGGAGGCAGCAGUGAGGAAUAUUGGUCAAUGGGCGCAAGCCUGAACCAGCCAUGCCGCGUGCAGGAUGACGGUCCUAUGGAUUGUAAACUGCUUUUGUACGGGAAGAAACCCUCCUACGUGUAGGAGCUUGACGGUACCGUAAGAAUAAGGAUCGGCUAACUCCGUGCCAGCAGCCGCGGUAAUACGGAGGAUCCAAGCGUUAUCCGGAAUCAUUGGGUUUAAAGGGUCUGUAGGCGGUCUUGUAAGUCAGUGGUGAAAGCCCAUCGCUCAACGGUGGAACGGCCAUUGAUACUGCUGGACUUGAAUUAUUGGGAAGCAACUAGAAUAUGUAGUGUAGCGGUGAAAUGCUUAGAGAUUACAUGGAAUACCAAUUGCGAAGGCAGGUUGCUACCAAUGGAUUGACGCUGAUGGACGAAAGCGUGGGUAGCGAACAGGAUUAGAUACCCUGGUAGUCCACGCCGU
rnacentral:rRNA from 1 species